UGGAAUGAGCGGCGGACGGGUGAGUAACACGUGGGCAACCUACCUGUAAGACUGGGAUAACUCCGGGAAACCGGGGCUAAUACCGGAUAAAACAUUGGUUUGCAUGAACCAAUGAUGAAGCCCCCCUCAAGAUGAGACUUCCCAUCUUUUAGAGUAAGAUCCCUCAGAGACGAUGAGGUAGAUAGGUUCGAGGUGGAAGCGUGGUGACACGUGUAGCUGACGAAUACUAAUCGAUCGA
rnacentral:ncRNA from 1 species